CCACCAAGGUACUGCAAUAUGUUUGUGCCUCUUUGAAGUAUUUGCACCGCUAUUUGAUAAGUUCCUACGUGGAACGGAACGUUCCACAGCUGUCAAAAUAAUUUUACAGAACCUAUUGUAAUUGUUUAAGGGUUCAUUGACAUCAUACUCGAAAUCCAAAAGUAAUCGAUUAACAGUUUCAGAAUAAAGAUCCCAAUUAACGAGACAUGCUGCAACGCUCAGAAUUCUUACAGAAUUUAGCUAAAUGUCCAUACCUCAAGCACCGGUAGCAUUGUUUAACUGGUGGUAUAUAUGGAGUGACAUUGUGGCGCCAACCUCCAAUAUCCAGAUAUUCAGGUAAUACAGAUGCAGCAAAAGUAAUUGUCACGGUUAGAGUUGGCUGUAACACAUAUCCAUGAGUCAAGAUUCUGAGUCAGUAGAAGUAUCUUCCGAAUAUAUAUCCUUGUCAUUACAAGGUUCAUGGUCUACAUCACCUGAAUCGUCAUCUUUUUUUUUCCUUUUUCUACAACUGCGCUUCCCCAUGAAUGCUAAUUAUAUUACUGUCGCUGAAUUUAGUGAAAAUAUAAUAUUUUAUUCAAUAAUAAGAAUUGAUAGAGAUAGUUUUAAUAAAUUAAUAAAAAAAAUUUAAAAAACCCGCUUGUUCUUAUU